GGGCCCGUAGCUCAGUUUGGCUAGAGCGCUUCCAUAGCAUGGAAAAGGUCAGGAGUUCGAGCCUCCUCGGGUCCA
rnacentral:tRNA from 1 species